UUAAAUUGAAGAGUUUGAUCAUGGCUCAGAUUGAACGCUGGCGGCAGGCCUAACACAUGCAAGUCGAACGGUAACAGGAAGCAGCUUGCUGCUUCGCUGACGAGUGGCGGACGGGUGAGUAAUGUCUGGGAAACUGCCUGAUGGAGGGGGAUAACUACUGGAAACGGUGGCUAAUACCGCAUAACGUCGCAAGACCAAAGAGGGGGACCUUCGGGCCUCUUGCCAUCAGAUGUGCCCAGAUGGGAUUAGCUUGUUGGUGAGGUAACGGCUCACCAAGGCGACGAUCCCUAGCUGGUCUGAGAGGAUGACCAGCCACACUGGAACUGAGACACGGUCCAGACUCCUACGGGAGGCAGCAGUGGGGAAUAUUGCACAAUGGGCGCAAGCCUGAUGCAGCCAUGCCGCGUGUAUGAAGAAGGCCUUCGGGUUGUAAAGUACUUUCAGCGGGGAGGAAGGUGUUGUGGUUAAUAACCGCAGCAAUUGACGUUACCCGCAGAAGAAGCACCGGCUAACUCCGUGCCAGCAGCCGCGGUAAUACGGAGGGUGCAAGCGUUAAUCGGAAUUACUGGGCGUAAAGCGCACGCAGGCGGUCUGUCAAGUCGGAUGUGAAAUCCCCGGGCUCAACCUGGGAACUGCAUUCGAAACUGGCAGGCUUGAGUCUUGUAGAGGGGGGUAGAAUUCCAGGUGUAGCGGUGAAAUGCGUAGAGAUCUGGAGGAAUACCGGUGGCGAAGGCGGCCCCCUGGACAAAGACUGACGCUCAGGUGCGAAAGCGUGGGGAGCAAACAGGAUUAGAUACCCUGGUAGUCCACGCCGUAAACGAUGUCUACUUGGAGGUUGUGCCCUUGAGGCGUGGCUUCCGGAGCUAACGCGUUAAGUAGACCGCCUGGGGAGUACGGCCGCAAGGUUAAAACUCAAAUGAAUUGACGGGGGCCCGCACAAGCGGUGGAGCAUGUGGUUUAAUUCGAUGCAACGCGAAGAACCUUACCUGGUCUUGACAUCCACAGAAGAAUCCAGAGAUGGAUUUGUGCCUUCGGGAACUGUGAGACAGGUGCUGCAUGGCUGUCGUCAGCUCGUGUUGUGAAAUGUUGGGUUAAGUCCCGCAACGAGCGCAACCCUUAUCCUUUGUUGCCAGCGGUCCGGCCGGGAACUCAAAGGAGACUGCCAGUGAUAAACUGGAGGAAGGUGGGGAUGACGUCAAGUCAUCAUGGCCCUUACGACCAGGGCUACACACGUGCUACAAUGGCGCAUACAAAGAGAAGCGACCUCGCGAGAGCAAGCGGACCUCAUAAAGUGCGUCGUAGUCCGGAUUGGAGUCUGCAACUCGACUCCAUGAAGUCGGAAUCGCUAGUAAUCGUGGAUCAGAAUGCCACGGUGAAUACGUUCCCGGGCCUUGUACACACCGCCCGUCACACCAUGGGAGUGGGUUGCAAAAGAAGUAGGUAGCUUAACCUUCGGGAGGGCGCUUACCACUUUGUGAUUCAUGACUGGGGUGAAGUCGUAACAAGGUAACCGUAGGGGAACCUGCGGUUGGAUCACCUCCUUACCUUAAAGAAGC
rnacentral:rRNA from 2 species